GGUAAGGUGGCCGAGUUUCAGGCGGCGGAUUGUAGCUCCGUAUACAGAGGUUUAAGUCCUCUCCGUAUCA
rnacentral:tRNA from 1 species